CCGGGACCCUGCCAGGCCCCUCCCGCGAGCAGGGCGGCCCCUCGCCGGCUCCUCCCCCGCCGCCCGCCACCCGCCCGGAAUCAGUCGCCGCACGCGGUUCCGCAGGUGGCAGCGAUGGCCCAGUCCUGAACUCCCCGCCAUGGCCGGCACCCCCGGCCCGCUGCGCCUCGCGCUCCUGCUGCUCGGGGUGGUGGGCAGGGCCGGCCCCCGCCCCCAGGGUGCCACUGUGUCCCUCUGGGAGACGGUGCAGAAAUGGCGAGAAUACCGACGCCAGUGCCAGCGCUCCCUGACUGAGGACCCACCUCCCGCCACAGACUUGUUCUGCAACCGGACCUUCGAUGAAUAUGCCUGCUGGCCAGAUGGGGAGCCAGGCUCCUUCGUGAAUGUCAGCUGCCCCUGGUACCUGCCCUGGGCCAGCAGUGUGCCGCAGGGCCAUGUGUACCGGUUCUGCACAGCUGAAGGCCUCUGGCUGCAGAAGGACAACUCCAGCCUGCCCUGGAGGGACCUGUCGGAGUGUGAGGAGUCCAAGCGAGGGGAAAGAAGCUCCCCGGAGGAGCAGCUCCUGUCCCUCUACAUCAUCUACACGGUGGGCUACGCACUCUCCUUCUCUGCUCUGGUUAUCGCCUCUGCGAUCCUCCUUGGCUUCAGACACCUGCACUGCACCCGGAACUACAUCCACCUGAACCUGUUUGCAUCCUUCAUCCUGCGAGCAUUGUCCGUCUUCAUCAAGGACGCAGCCCUCAAGUGGAUGUACAGCACGGCCGCCCAGCAGCACCAGUGGGAUGGGCUCCUCUCCUACCAGGACUCUCUGGGCUGCCGCGUGGUGUUUCUGCUCAUGCAAUACUGUGUGGCGGCCAAUUACUACUGGCUCUUGGUGGAGGGCGUGUACCUGUACACGCUGCUGGCCUUCUCGGUCUUCUCUGAGCAACGAAUCUUCAGGCUCUAUGUGAGCGUAGGCUGGGGUGUUCCCCUGCUGUUUGUUGUCCCCUGGGGCAUUGUCAAGUACCUCUAUGAGGACGAGGGCUGCUGGACCAGGAACUCCAACAUGAACUACUGGCUCAUUAUCCGGCUGCCCAUUCUCUUUGCCAUUGGGGUGAACUUCCUCAUCUUUGUUCGGGUCAUCUGCAUCGUGGUAUCCAAACUGAAGGCCAAUCUCAUGUGCAAGACAGACAUCAAAUGCAGACUUGCCAAGUCCACGCUGACACUCAUCCCCCUGCUGGGGACUCAUGAGGUCAUCUUUGCCUUUGUGAUGGAUGAGCAUGCCCGGGGCACCCUGCGCUUCAUCAAGCUGUUCACGGAGCUCUCCUUUACCUCCUUCCAGGGGCUGAUGGUGGCCAUCUUGUACUGCUUUGUCAACAAUGAGGUCCAGCUGGAGUUUCGGAAGAGCUGGGAGCGCUGGCGGCUUGAGCACUUGCACAUCCAGAGGGACAGCAGCAUGAAGCCCCUCAAAUGUCCCACCAGCAGCCUGAGCAGUGGGGCCACGGCGGGCAGCAGCAUGUACACAGCCACUUGCCAGGCCUCCUGCAGCUGAGACUCCAGCGCCUGCCCUCCCUGGGGUCCUUGCUGCAGGCCGGGUGGCCAAUUCAGGAGAAGCAGCCUUCUAAUUUGAUCACAGUGGCGAGAGGAGAGGAAAAACGAUCGCUGUGAAAAUGAGGAGGAUUUCUUCUCAUGAAGCCACAGGCCCUUGGGGUUCCCCCAGACAGAGCUGCAAAUCAACCCCAGACUCAAACUCAAGGUCAAUGGCUUAUUAGUGAAACUGGGGCUUGCAAGAGGAGGUGGUUCGGAAAGUGGCUCUUCUGACCUCAGCCAAACACGGAGCAGGAGUGACGGGAGUCUCCUCUGCUUUCACCACUUGGGGUCACCACCCUCCCCUGUCUUCUCUCAAAGGGAAGCUGUUUGUAUGUCUGGGUUGCUUAUUUCCCUCGUCUUGCCCCCUCAUCUCACUGCCCAGUUUUCUUUGUUUGGGCCAGUGCCAGCAGCCGUUUCUGGAAACGGCUGUAGGUGGUGUUGAGAAUGAGCAUUGAGAAGGUGCCCGCUUCUCCUCCAGGUAUUUGAGUUGUUUUGGUGCCUGCCUCUGCCAUGCCCAGAGAAUCAGGGCAGCCUUGCCACCGGGGAGCCCAGCCCUGGGGUAUGAGCUCCCAAGUCUGUUUUAAAGACGCUCAAGAAUCCUCUGGGUUUCAUCUAGGGACACGUUAGGAAUGUCCAGACUGUGGGUGCAGAUUAUCUGCCACUCCCAGGAGCCCAGAGGGCCAAGAGAGACAUUGCCUCCACCUCUCCUUGGAAAUACAUUAUCUGUGACCACACGCUGUCUCUUGAGUGGGAAUUUGGAUACACUCUCUAGCUUUAGGGGAUGUGACCAUGAAGAGACUCUCUUAGAGAAACCAAUAGUGCCCAUGAUCACCAUGGAGGCAGGCUCCCCCUGCCUUUGAAAUUCCCCCACUUGGGAGCUUGUAUAUACUUCAUUCACUUUUCUUUAUUGCUGUGAACAGUCUGUGUGCGCAAAUGGACAAUUCCGAUUUCUCCCAUCUAGUGGAAACGAGCGGAAUCAUGGCUGUUGUGGUGGUGUUUGGGAGAGUGCAGUAGUAAUUGAUUUGACCCACUCACACCUGGAGCUAAUUAAGGUUUGCCCUGCCUGCAGCCUUCCCCACAAAUAACGAACAGCAGAAAGGCUGGGUGGGGAAACCUACCAAUUCUGUCCCCAGCUACGGUGAGGAAGCCCCAAGCCAUGGUGACACACAGCAGCACUGCAGAUACCCAGACAGACAGCCAUCCUAGAGAGGCUGGCAAGGAGUUCGUGGCUGCAAAGGAAGCUUCUAGAGCAAGAGAGAGCUCGCCCUUAGGCGUCAGGACCUCCGGGGAGAGCAGAGGGUUCCGACGGAUUCCUUUAUGAUUCCUUUAUGAGUCUCUCCCUCCCUUUUAAAUGGUGGGAAACCUCCCCCAAACCUUACCCCAGACACAUUCUCCUGUGCCCCUCAGAGAGGCAUGUGAUGUGCAAGGAAAAUAUUAGGAUAUAAAACACAUCAAGCAGAAAAUUUCUUAUACUUCAGCUUCAGUGAAGUGUUGUCUAUGUUAAUAGGGAAGCUGAACCUCGGGCUAAAGAAAGGAAUUGUGUGGAUGGCUGCCUUGACUGAGACAAUAUGGGGAGGGGGGCAUUCCUGCUUCCCCAGAACAAGGGCAGGCUUCCCAGUGGCACCCCUUAUUUGCUGUCUCUUCAUGAGGGUGGGCACCAGUGGGUUGAUGUGGGGCACAGUUCUGGUGCAAGUGUUUAAGUUUUGGACAAACUGAGGAUUUUGAGAAUGAUUAUUACAUUACAUAGCAACAAAGAAACAGAUUGAUAUAAUCUGUGUGAAAUAAAUUGCUGAGGAGAGGGAUUGUAGGGAAGAAAUUGCUCAGUUAGGCACCUGGGAAGCUCAAAUCAUUUAGUUUAAACUGUAAGUAGAGUUGUCUUCCCAACUGGAACUGGUGAUUCCUGAUUUCAGAAGGCUCGUCAGACCCCCACAGCCAAGCCUUUUAACACGGAGGAAGUUUGUCCUUCAUGAAUACAUACAAGAUAUCGAACUGAAGAAAUCUUUUCUUUGCUCCAACCCCCACUCCCCACGCCCCCCGAAGCUAUUAAUAGUCAUUCAAAUGGCACUGCACUCUUUCCAAGCUCUCCUAAGCUAAAUAUGGCUCCAACAGGUCUGGGAACUAUCGAAUGCAAUGUACUCUGAAAUUCCACCAGCUGUUUACAUGCCUGAUGCCUAAUGCCAUACGCCUGGAGCUUGCUGAGAACUCUCUCGGCUGCCUCUGUCCUGGGAUACUAUUGCUGACCAGCAGGGUGUAGGUGCUGCUUUUGUUUGAGCUUUGCAGCCACAAGGUCUGAUGGCUGUUGUCAACAGCAGUUGACUUCAGCACUCUGGCCAGCUUCCUCAAAUUUGUUUGGGGCUUGCAUUUCGUCAACUUUUCUUUGCCAUUUCAGUCUUUCAAGCAGCCGAAUCACAGAACUGAAAUAAACCACUUACAUUGCAAAGUUCCUUCCCUUUAAAAUGAGUUUCUGGAUUUCAGGGAUGAUUUCUGAUGGUCUUAGUAUGCCUCAUGCUGUAGACCACAUCGUUGGAGCUCUGGGAGACUCUGAGCAGAGAAAGACCUUGGUGAUCUCCCCUGGCUCGAUCUAUAGGAUUGAGGAAUGAGGCUUGCAGAGGUGGCUUGCCCAAGGUCACAACACCAGAGGGUGGUUGAGCUGGGCCAGGACCCAGAGAAGCCCUUGUCUCUCAGUCUAGUGAGGUCUCUGGGAAGGAUAGGUGAAAACUAUAAAUAGCUGUUCAAGAUACUCUAAGUAAAAGUCAGUGGUGUUAUCUGGAAUUUCUAAUGAAGAGGAAACACAGCAGCAAAGGUAGACUCAUCAGAUGGUGAAAGUGUCAUCUCCUUUGUAAUUUAUACCGGUGAGAGGAGGGGAAGGAUGUGCUUUCCUAUUUUUACUCUGGUACUUCAUUCGUCCUUGUCUUAAACUUAUGAAACGCAUCAGGGCACACAUAUGCAUAGAAACAGCACGAGAGUCAUUUUGGAUAGCAAUUCCAGCACUCUUUUAAUGGAUUGGCUUAAUUUUUUUUUCUGAUGCCUCUGUAUGUGUUUGAAAAGUUGUAUUGAUAGCCACACAGAGUGUACUAAAAUAACCUAAAAGGUCUUUACCUUUUUAGAACUCUCUGAAUUUGGAGACAGCUAGCAAAUGGCAACUGUAGUCUAGCAAAGAUGGCACAGCACCACAAAGGGCAAAUAGAGUCAACUCCCAUCCAUGCUCUGAAGGUCUUGGCCACUCUCAUCAGGGUUGGCUGUGUUCUAUCCAGCAGCUCACAGUCAGGAGACCUCCCCUCCUCAGUCCCUCCCAUUUCUUUCUUCCGCAAGGAAAGAACAUUGUGUGUGGGUGUGUGUGGGUGUAUGUGUGUGCAUGUGUGUGUGCAUGUUUCUUCUGUGCAUAGCAGCAUAAAGUUAGGAGAUGAUGACUCCAGAAUCAUCACACCCGCUAUGCAGGUCAUAGGACCGCACACCCGAGGCUAGGAGUCUAAGUGGUAGAUGCUUCCUUUCCAUGCGCAGACAGGACUCCCAUUAUUUGCUAAUGCCUGCGACGUGCUCAGGGAAGGCAAAAUCUAUUCCAAAGGUUUAUUUUCCCUCUGUUGAACUGAUUCUAAUCUACAGUGCUGAUCCUACUUUGGGCUCCUAUGAGGCAAACUAUAAAAAUUCUCAAAUAAAAUACAAAGGCGUAGUCUGCUAAGACACCUGUGUGAAUGAGAUGCUAAACAUUCAGCAGAAACCAAUUAGGAUCAACUCUUUGUGGCUGGAGUGAGUUCCCCUGGGAAAGAAAAUAGCCCGAGUGACAAAUUUAUGCCAAUCACAUUACCAUGCCCCUACACUGUUACCUGCUGGCCCAAAUCAGCUCUCUGGGUCUGCAGAGGGCCGAGACAGGAAGCGUUAUCAAGCAGUAUAAUUUUAAACACUUUAUUUAGUGCCACAGUGUGUCUGCAAUAUCUAUAACUACUUCUGCUCUGUCAAUGAAUACAGACUGGCAGGAAGCAGAUAAACAUAAUUGUUUUCCAAUAAUUCCCCAAGCCUCUUGGACUCUCUCUCUAUCUGAAUCCCUCAGAGGAGAGAGUUUUCGCUCUUCUUUGGCCAUUUUAGUCUGUUUUCUAGGACCUUGUCUAGCAGUGGCUCCAUUUUUCCCCUGAUGCAUCCAACUUCCCUCCCUGCACUCCUCCUCCCCGACUGUUGCCUCAGGAAGAGGCGACCUUGCUGGCCAUACUGUGAAUGCUGUUCUUGCAGCUGUGACCAAUUUGGGGGUGCAACUGAGAGUGAGGGGCUGUCAGGGUUGAAAAGUAUGCACCUCAUUCUACAUUUGGAUACAGUGAGGAGUGGGGCAGCCACCGGCUUGGAUCCUAACUUACAUUGGGUGAUGCAACCUUUCCGAUGGGGCCUGCCAAGCUCUCAGUAAUUAGCCAGCCUAGACAAUGUAGCAUGACUAAUUAUUGCUGUGUCAAAGCAAUUUAGGACAAGAAAAACAUAUCUAAAUGAGAAUGUUUAGAUGUAGUGAGAAAAGACCUCUCACUACAGUUUGGAACGUAUAAAAAGUUGAGUUCUUUACAGGGGAGCCAAUGGGAGCAUUGAGGGAAGGGCACAAUUCACCCCAGCCAGCCAGUGCUUGAUCUUGUCAAACAGUUCACAUUUUACUUCCAAACCUGCAGUUCUAAGCUCCUCCCACUAAAAUAAUCAUCACAUCCUCAAAGCAGACAAACUCCAGCAUCCCAUCGGUUCUGGAGGGAUUUGAUGCAGACCUUUAAAUGCACCGACAGAGAGGUAAGCCAAGCUCUCAGGAGGGACCAAGCUAGAUUUCUACCUUCAGUGCUCUUGGGGGAUGUUUGCUCUUCAUGAAUGUUUAAACAAGAUCAUUUCCAUGUGAUUUCCUAAUGUAUAAAUUCCUGCAAAAUAUGACCAGCUUCUAUAGGUGGCGAAUGUGUAGGUCAUAUAAUUCCUUGUACAGAUGUGAAUGGAUGCAGGCUCUUUCCUAAUUUGCCUUGUAAGUCAAAUAAAAGUCUGUCUCUACUGUC